CCUACGGGGUGCAGCAGUGGGGAAUAUUGGGCAAUGGGCGCAAGCCUGACCCAGCAACGCCGCGUGAAGGAAGAAGGCUUUCGGGUUGUAAACUUCUUUUCUCAGGGACGAAGAAAGUGACGGUACCUGAGGACUAAGCCACGGCUAACUACGUGCCAGCAGCCGCGGUAAUACGUAGGGAGCGAGCGUUGUCCGGAUUUACUGGGUAUAAAGGGUGCGUAGGCGGCUUGGUAAGUCAGUAGUGAAAUCCAUGGGCUUAACCCAUGAACUGCUAUUGAAACUGUCGAGCUUGAGUGAAGUAGAGGUAGGCGGAAUUCCCGGUGUAGCGGUGAAAUGCGUAGAGAUCGGGAGGAACACCAGUGGCGAAGGCGGCCUACUGGGCUUUAACUGACGCUGAGGCACGAAAGCGUGGGUAGCAAACAGGAUUAGAUACCCGAGUAGUC
rnacentral:rRNA from 1 species